rnacentral:lncRNA from 10 species
CCCCCGGGAAGCCUCGUCCGGAGCCGCACGGGCAGCCGGAGUGGGGACGCGGAAGGGCGGGGUCUGCGGCCUGGCGCGGCGCCCCCCUGUCCGAGCCCCGCAGUGGGCACGGGGAUGCGGGGCCCGCAGGACCCCUCCCGGCCCGGCCCCCGCCCCCCGCGGCCGCGCAUGCGCCCCGUGGCCUCGGUGCAGGUGCAGCGGGGGCUCUGCGCCUUGUAGGACCUGCAGACGCCGCAGGCUGGGGCGGAGAAGCUCAGGUGCGGGGAGGCGGUCGCAGACCCCAUCCUCGGCGCUUCUCGAACCUAGCCCCCUUCAGUUCUGCGCGACCUCCCAGCACCACCCCGAGGGCUGCCGGAGCAGAGCUUCCCCGACAUGCGCGGGCGGGACGGGGCCAGGGGUCCAGGCCUGGGGACCCGCAGUCUGCGUUGUGCGGUGGAGUUGGGGCCAGCCGGGCAGCUGAGGUCACCUGAAGGCCAGGAGGGGCUGGGCCUGCCCGUGGACGUGGGAGUGAGGCCGCAGCGCCCUGGUGGGGUGGGGAGGGGCGGCUGAACUGGUCCACAGCCCCGUCCGCCAGAGAACGGGCCCUGGAGAGGGGCAGGGGACGGGGUGGGGGCGUGGGGGGGAGGGGAAGCCAAGCUGGGAAGGCGCCCCCUCAGUGUCUGGGGCCCGCUGUCAGCUUUUCAACCUAAAGGAGAAAACAGGCAAAACGAAUAGAAAUAGUUUGUUGGGGCCAAGUUUGAGGACUGCAGCGUGGAAGGACAGACUCAGGUUGGUCUGAAUGCACGCGCUCUCAUUCGCAGCAGUUGCAAGUGCGUUUUUAAAGGAAAAAUGAAGACGCAGCUCCUAAAUUCACCAAGAAUUUGCAUUAAAAUGGCAUAAGCUAUUGAUUGGUGUACAUUAUUUGUCACAAAUUCCAGGAACAUGAAGAUGACGCUGAGGCGGCCAGGCGGACACUAUAGGAAAGAAAAGAAAGAACAAAAUGCCUUCCAGCAGUUGCCCCGGGCGUGAGUGGGGAGGCGGGACUGAGGCCCUGUACUCAGGUGUCUCUGGGCCAGAUAAUCUUUGAGAAUCCCACAUAGCUCCGGCUAUUUUUCUUUUCUCAUUUCUCGUGUUUGAUCAAAAAUUUUCUCUUCUCAAAGCAGUGAUGAUCGACAUUCUAGAUGUAAGUUUUUCUGCUGGGAAGGCUCAUUCCCGGGCCAUCUCACCCCGCAUGGGGGGAAAGAGGACAGGUGCGGUGGGCGCUUAAGAACUUCGUGAGGCCUCAAGGCCAAGGUUGAUUGGCACGGGGUCUGUCAGGCCGUCUGCUAUGAAGGAGCCACGCAUACCGGAUGGCUUCUGAGCAUCUAGCUAGCAUCCUCGGGGUUUUUUGGUUGACUUUGGACAUCUAGAAACACAAAGCCUAAUCAAUUUAAGAAUGAAAAAUAUGGGCCGGGCGUGGUGGCUCAUGCCUGUAAUCCCAGCACUUUGGGAGGCCGAGGCGUGUGGAUCACGUGAGGUCAGGAGUUUGAGACCAGUCUGGGCAACAUGGUGAAACUGCGCCUCUACUAAAAAUACAAAAAUUAGCCGGGUGUGGUGGCAGGCGCCUGUAAUCCCAGCUACUUGGGAGGCUGAAGCAGGAGAAUCACUUGAACUCGGGAGGCGGAGGUUGCAGUGAGCUGAGAUCGUGCCACUGUACUCCAGCCUGGCAACAGACUGAGAUUCUGCCUCAAAAACAAGAAAAGAAAAAGAAAAAAUGACACAAAUAAGGGCAACUAUUAACAAUUUGAAAUCUAGAACUGAAGAGUGCUUCUAUUUUUGAAGGUAACCAGAUACCUAUUUUGUCUCCUUCUGGUCCUGGCCUGAAGAACAAGAUGUUGAAGUUCUCCAGUGAUGGAAACGACCUCUCUGGCGAGGCUGCCUGGUGUGGUCCCAUCUAUUGUGGUUGGAGGAAGUCCUAUAUUUGAUGCUUUUCUCAUGAAAUCUCCAGGUUGGAGACCUUGAACUUUCAUGUCUUCAUCUCCUGAGAACUCGCCGUUAACAGAAUCCUUAAUUAAUUUAGAAUGUGCAGUGAGAAGCUCUAUAGGGUCUCGGCAAUAAUGAAGAAUAUCGCCUUUAAGGGGAGCUGGUUUGGAGGCUCCUUCAUCCAGGCACAGGGCCUUCCUGGUAUUAUUUCAAAGAGAGAAAGCUGAUGUUUUCCAAACAGGGCAGAACCCCAGUUCAGCACCACAGUGGAAACACCUUAGGCCAGGGAGUGUUAGAAGCUGGUUUCAGCAUUGCAGAUGGGUUUUCUAUUAUCCCACCUGUGCGUUCCACAGUCUGGAAGAUGGAGGAGGGCUGCAAGCACAAUGGGAAUGCCAAUCCCUCCAAUCCCAACCAGCUUUCACUAUGCAAGAGUCUCAACAUAGCCAGCUAAACAUCAGAAAGUUGCAUUCUGGCAGACCCCUUUAGUGAACAGGGCACAGAAAGCAUCUGCAGCGUUCAGGAGCUGCUGUUUAAAUAUGCGAAGAGCAGGCACAGCUGGAAGGCACAGCAUCCAGAUCUUUAAGUAUCCAGGAUCCCAUCUUUACACCAAAUCCCCAGUCCCCCAAGAGAAGAAACCCCAUGGGACCGGGCCACACGGUGUUUCCACAGUGUGCCACGCUACGAAGACAUUCUCCCAAGGCUGGUGGGUGACCCAACACCAAUCAGCCCACCCCGUGAUCAGCCCGUCACCCCAGGAGUCUUUUACCUUGGUGGCAAGACUUCCCAUAGCCUCCAGGGGCCCAAACUGCACCUUUCUUAUCUAAAUGCACAGAGAAACAAGUAGCCCCUGCCAUAAUAACCAUUCACUACAGCCGCUGCCAGCUACCUCCCAGUGACUUUGGGGAUGGGCUUUCGCCAGUGACUUGUCAGCCAUGGCACAUGAAGGUCAAGUUCUCUCUCAUAGUACAAAGUAAUCCCUGGAACGCGCAAAGCCAAAGAGAUCAGGUAACGCAAUGCAAAAGACAGCAGAGCUUUCGGCCUGAGAGGGGCCUGCCCAGGACUCUCGAGACUCCGUGAGAAAGGCAGAAGGCCCCCAAAACAGGGUGUGCGUGGCCGUUUUCUGUGUUCCUCAAGAGGUCUCAGGCUGCUAGAAGUCUCCUAUGUGGUACUGAAGAUGGUACAAGGCAGGAGAAGCACAAGCAGAGGAAAACGGAAGGCGUCACAGAGGAGCCGGUUCUCAAGAUUUUAGGCUUUCUAAAAGAGUCUCGCUGUGUUGCCCGGGCUAGAGUGCGAUGGCACCAUCUUGGCUCACUGCAACUUCUGCCUCCUGAGUUGAAGCGAUUCUCAUGUCUCAGCCUCCCGAGCAGCUGGAAUUACAGGUGCGUGCCACUGUGCCUAGCUAAUUUUUUUAUUUUGGGUAGAGAUGGGGUUUCGCCAUAUUGGCUAGGCUGGUCUUGAACUCCUGACCUCAGGUGAUUCAUCCACUUUGGCCUCUCAAAGUGCUGAGAUUACACGCAUGAGCCACCGCGCCCAGCCCAGCAGUUGCAAUUUUUAAAGCUUGCUGUGUAACUUUAGGCCCAAAGAUGUGAAACCACCAGUGCCAGACUGGUGCCCAUACCAGGCCCUAAACCCGUUGCCCUGAGGCAGUGGCAGAGAAGGCGGAGUUCUCUGUUUAUCUGAGUCCCCUGUCCAAAGACAGAGACUGAAGCCCUCUUUCUGUUAAAAGCAGGUUUAAAAAACACUCCAAAUAAAAUCUAGAUGUCAACCAAAAAGAAAACAAAGCUCUGAAUUCAGGAGGACUCACC